CCCUUAGAUGUCCUGGGCUGCACGCGCGCUACACUGACGAACUCAACGAGCUUAUCACCUUGGCAGAGAUGUCUGAGUAAUCUUUUGAAAGUUCGUCGUGCUGGGGAUAGAUGAUUGUAAUUAUUCGUCUUGAACGAGGAAUUCCUAGUAAGUGUGAGUCAUCAGCUCGCGCUGAUUACGUCCCUGCCCUUUGUACACACCGCCCGUCGCUCCUACCGAUUGAAUGGUCCGGUGAGGUUCUCGGAUUUUUUCUGUUGUUUGGUUCGCUAAACGAUUGAAGAGAGAAGUUACCCAAACCUUACCAUUUAGAGGAAGGAGAAGUCGUAACA
rnacentral:rRNA from 1 species